GAUGAACGCUGGCGGCGUGCCUAAUACAUGCAAGUCGAGCGAACAGACGAGGAGCUUGCUCCUCUGACGUUAGCGGCGGACGGGUGAGUAACACGUGGAUAACCUACCUAUAAGACUGGGAUAACUUCGGGAAACCGGAGCUAAUACCGGAUAAUAUAUUGAACCGCAUGGUUCAAUAGUGAAAGACGGUUUUGCUGUCACUUAUAGAUGGAUCCGCGCCGCAUUAGCUAGUUGGUAAGGUAACGGCUUACCAAGGCAACGAUGCGUAGCCGACCUGAGAGGGUGAUCGGCCACACUGGAACUGAGACACGGUCCAGACUCCUACGGGAGGCAGCAGUAGGGAAUCUUCCGCAAUGGGCGAAAGCCUGACGGAGCAACGCCGCGUGAGUGAUGAAGGUCUUCGGAUCGUAAAACUCUGUUAUUAGGGAAGAACAAAUGUGUAAGUAACUAUGCACGUCUUGACGGUACCUAAUAAGAAAGCCACGGCUAACUACGUGC
rnacentral:rRNA from 1 species